rnacentral:rRNA from 1 species
AUGGAGCCACCAGUCAAGGAGGAUGCCAUACGCCUCGACUCCAAAGAUUUCUAUGGUUGCAAGUUUGAAAAGUUUGCUCGUUCUGUUGACAACCGGCUGCUCGUCCGUUCUAAUUCAGACCUGCACACAUUCAAGCUGCGUUGGGACAAGAAUCAUUCCGACAGCCAAGCUGUAAGAAGGUGGAUCAAGUAUGCAGUGAAUCAUAACGUGAAAGUUCUCAAUGUGAUCCUUCAUGAUUAUGACGAGAGUGAAUUGCCUCCUGCCAUCUUCACCUGCCAUUCACUCCAGGAGCUGAAUUUGCAGUUGGGGGUAACUCCUGAAGCUGUGUUCGGUUGA